GACGAACGCUGGCGGCGUGCCUAAUACAUGCAAGUCGAACGCAGUGGGGCCGGGUGAGUAACACGUGGGUAACCUCCCAUCAGAGGGGAUAACACUUGGAAACAGGUGCUAAACCGAUACUGAUGUAUGGACCCCCGGUGCCUUAGCUAGUUGGUGAGUUAACGGCUCACCAAGGCCAAGAUGCAUAGCCGUCCUGAGAUGGUGAUCGGCCACACUGGGACUGAGACACGGCCCAGACUCCUACGGGAGGCAGCAGUAGGGAAGCUUCGGCAAUGGACGAAAGUCUGACCGAGCAACGCCGCGUUAGUGAAGAAGGUUUUCGGAUCGUAAAACUCUGUUGUUAGAGAAGCGGUAUCUAACCAGAAAGCCACGGCUAACUACGUGCCAGCAGCCGCGGUAAUUC
rnacentral:rRNA from 1 species